rnacentral:rRNA from 1 species
GACGAACGCUGGCGGCGUGCUUAACACAUGCCAGUCGAACGGAAAGGCCCUGCUUGCCGGGUACUCGAGUGGCGAACGGGUGAGUAACACGUGGGUGAACUGCCCUUCACUUCGGGAUAAGCCUGGGAAACUGGGUCUAAUACCGGAUAGGAACCAUCUUUAGUGAGGGGGGUGGAAAGUGUUUUCGGUGUAGGAUGAGCUCGCGGGCUAUCAGCUUGUUGGUGGGGUAAUGGCCUACCAAGGCGGCGACGGGUAGCCGGCCUGAGAGGGUGUAGGGCCACAUUGGGACUGAGAGACGGCCCAGAGUCGUACGGGGGGCAGCAGUGGGGAAUAUUGCACAAAGGGCGCAAGCCUGAUGCAGCGACGCCGCGUGGGGGAUGAGGGCCUUUGGGUUGUAAACACCUUUCGCUAGGGACGCAGCUUUGUUGUGACGGUACCUGGAUAAGAAGCACCGGCUAACUACGUG